rfam:Flavobacterium sp. EM1308 contig00134, whole genome shotgun sequence.
ACGAUGAAGAGUUUGAUCCUGGCUCAGGAUGAACGCUAGCGGCAGGCUUAACACAUGCAAGUCGAGGGGUAUAGUUUUUCGGAACUAGAGACCGGCGCACGGGUGCGUAACGCGUAUGCAAUCUACCUUUUACAGGGGGAUAGCCCAGAGAAAUUUGGAUUAAUACCCCAUGGUAUAUGGACUUCGCAUGAAGUUUAUAUCA